rnacentral:rRNA from 1 species
CCUGGCGGCGAUAGCGCGGUGGUCCCACCUGACCCCAUGCCGAACUCAGAAGUGAAACGCCGUAGCGCCGAUGGUAGUGUGGGGUCUCCCCAUGUGAGAGUAGGGAACUG